CUACCCGGCUGAACUUAAGCAUAUCAAUAAGCGGAGGAAAAGAAACCAACAGGGAUUGCCCUAGUAACGGCGAGUGAAGCGGCAACAGCUCAAAUUUGAAAUCUGGCUCUUUUAGGGUCCGAGUUGUAAUUUGCAGAGGGCGCUUUGGCUUUGGCAGCGGUCCAAGUUCUUUGGAACAGGACGUCACAGAGGGUGAGAAUCCCGUACGUGGUCGCUAUCCUUUGCCGUGUAAAGCCCCUUCGACGAGUCGAGUUGUUUGGGAAUGCAGCUCUAAAUGGGAGGUAAAUUUCUUCUAAAGCUAAAUACUGGCCAGAGACCGAUAGCGCACAAGUAGAGUGAUCGAAAGAUGAAAAGCACUUUGGAAAGAGAGUCAAAUAGCACGUGAAAUUGUUGAAAGGGAAGCGCUUGCAGCCAGACUUGUUUGCAGUUGCUUAUCCGGGCUUUUGCCCGGUGCACUCUUCUGUAGGCAGGCCAGCAUCAGUUUGGGCAGUUGGAUAAAGGUCUCUGUCAUGUACCUCUCUUCGGGGAGGCCUUAUAGGGGAGACGACAUGCAACUAGCCUGGACUGAGGUCCGCGCAUCUGCUAGGAUGCUGGCGUAAUGGCUGUAAGCGGCCCGUCUUGAAACACGGACCAAGGAGUCUAACAUCUAUGCGAGUGUUUGGGUGUCAAGCCCAGACGCGUAAUGAAAGUGAACGGAGGUGGGAACCCUUUGGGUGCACCAUCGACCGAUCCUGAUGUCUUCGGAAGGAUUUGAGUAAGAGCAUGGCUGUUGGGACCCGAAAGAUGGUGAACUAUGCUUGAAUAGGGUGAAGCCAGAGGAAACUCUGGUGGAGGCUCGCAGCGGUUCUGACGUGCAAAUCGAUCGUCAAAUUUGGGCAUAGGGGCGAAAGACUAAUCGAACUAUCUAGUAGCUGGUUCCUACGAGUUUCCCCCCCCCCAAAAAAA
rnacentral:rRNA from 1 species